ensembl:lncRNA
GUUCCCUGAGCACAGUGAUUUUUCACGGGUUAUUACGAAGUUCCUCACAGCACUUUCUAUUUCUUGAAGCCUCCCUGGUACUGGUUUUGGGGAAGAUCAGAUUUCCUCUCCACUGAGGGAGAUGAAGAGGAGAAGAUUUCUGAGGAAGCAAAGUCACUAGAAUCCAGAUUUGGACCCCAGUAUCAUAACACUGCCCUACAGAGCUACAGUGAGGAACAGCCUUUGAAUGGUAUGGUAGAGAACUCAGCAAAGGAUUACACGUAACUUUAACUUAUCAAACUAAGUAUUAUAAUAAACUUCUGAUUAUUCCUGAGACGGAGCAGAGAAAGAAAAAUCCUCCUGGAUGCUGUUUUUCCUUUCCAGAAUCCAGAUUUGGACCCCAGUAUCAUAACGUUGCCCUACAGAACUACAGCGAGGAGCAGCCUUUGAAUGUGUCGGUGAACGCUGAUUUGAUCCAAGGGAACACAGCUGAAGAAAUCAAAAAAGAAGAUAUUAAAGACAGUGCAAUUAUUGCUGUGUCAUCUACAGCUCUCGCCAUCUACCUAAUAUUUAUGCUUUCUUUAUGUGUGGUUCUUAGAAGACGCAGAAUACAAAACGGCCAUAACAUCACACUUUGCCACCCCUACCCAACAGCAGCAAUACAGCUGUUGGCGCUACUGACACGGGGAACGAAAGUGCUCUGAUCCAGAGGUCAGACGUCGACGCAGGUUCUGCAGAGAACUUCUCCUGAGAAAUUUUAAGAACUGGAGCAUGGAAAACUGGGGUUUCCAGGUCGCAGGCCAAAUGCAACUGAUUUAGAAAAACUGCUUGGCUGCGGUCUUCUGAAGCCAGCUCAAAAUGCAGGAACCUUUCCAUUACUUUUCAUGAUCUUUCAUAUACAAGAAGUUAUGCAUUUUGAAAUUAUUUCCAC